CAGUAGCCACGGUAAUACGGAGGAUCCAAGCGUUAUCCGGAAUCAUUGGUUUUAAAGGGUCCGUAGGCGGUCUUGUAAGUCAGUGGUGAAAGCCCAUCGCUCAACGGUGGAACGGCCAUUGAUACUGCAGGACUUGAAUUAUUGGGAAGUAACUAGAAUAUGUAGUGUAGCGGUGAAAUGCUUAGAGAUUACAUGGAAUACCAAUUGCGAAGGCAGGUUACUACCAAUUGAUUGACGCUGAUGGACGAAAGCGUGGGUAGCGAACAGGAUUAGAUACCCCUGUAGUCCCUGUCUCUUAUAA
rnacentral:rRNA from 1 species